UACGUAGGGUGCAAGCGUUAAUCGGAAUUACUGGGCGUAAAGCGUGCGCAGGCGGUUGUGCAAGACAGAUGUGAAAUCCCCGGGCUCAACCUGGGAAUUGCAUUUGUGACUGCACGGCUAGAAUGUGUCAGAGGGGGGUAGAAUUCCACGUGUGAGCAGUGAAAUGCGUAGAGAUGUGGAGGAAUACCGAUGGCGAAGGCAGCCCCCUGGGAUAACACUGACGCUCAUGCACGAAAGCGUGGGGAGCAAACAGG
rnacentral:rRNA from 1 species